GAAAACGCUGUGUGAUGGCGUGCCUUUUGUAGAAUGAACCGGCGAGUUACGAUUUCAUGCAAGGUUAAGUUGAAGAGACGGAGCCGCAGCGAAAGCGAGUCUGAAUAGGGCGCAUAUAGUAUGAGGUCGUAGACCCGAAACCAGGUGAUCUACCCAUGUCCAGGGUGAAGGUAAGGUAACACUUACUGGAGGCCCGAACCCACGUACGUUGAAAAGUGCGGGGAUGAGGUGUGGGUAGCGGUGAAAUUCCAAUCGAACCUGGAGAUAGCUGGUUCUCUCCGAAAUAGCUUUAGGGCUAGCCUUGAGAAAGAGUCUUGGAGGUAGAGCACUGUUUGGACGAGGGGCCCUCAUCGGGUUACCGAAUUCAGACAAACUCCGAAUGCCAAAGACUUGAUUCUCAGGAGUCAGACUGCGAGUGAUAAGAUCCGUAGUCGAGAGGGAAACAGCCCAGACCGCCAGCUAAGGUCCCCAAGUAUCCGUUAAGUGGAAAAGGAUGUGGAGUUGCUUAGACAACCAGGAUGUUGGCUUAGAAGCAGCCACCAUUUAAAGAGUGCGUAAUAGCUCACUGGUCGAGUGACUCUGCGCCGAAAAUGUAUCGGGGCUAAACGGAUCACCGAAGCUGCGGACUGACACCGUAGGUGUCAGUGGUAGGAGAGCGUUCCAAGGGCUGUGAAGCCAGACCGGAAGGACUGGUGGAGCGCUUGGAAGUGAGAAUGCCGGUAUGAGUAGCGAAAGAAGGGUGAGAAUCCCUUCCACCGAAUGCCUAAGGUUUCCUGAGGAAGGCUCGUCCGCUCAGGGUUAGUCGGGACCUAAGCCGAGGCUGAAAAGCGUAGGCGAUGGAUAACAGGUCGAUAUUCCUGUACCACCUCCCCGCCGUUUGAGUAAUGGGGGGACGCAGGAGGAUAGGGUAAGCGCGCUGCUGGAUAUGCGCGUCCAAGCCGUUAGGCUGAAGAGGAGGCAAAUCCUUCUCUUUAAAGCGGAGCGGUGAUGGCGAGGGAAAUAUAGUACCGAAGUUCCUGAUUCCACACUGCCAAGAAAAGCCUCUAGCGAGGCGGGAGGUGCCCGUACCGCAAACCGACACAGGUAGGCGAGGAGAGAAUCCUAAGGUGAUCGAGAGAACUCUCGUUAAGGAACUCGGCAAAAUGACCCCGUAACUUCGGGAGAAGGGGUGCUCUUUUGGGUGAAAGCCCGAGAGAGCCGCAGUGAAUAGGCCCAGGCGACUGUUUAGCAAAAACACAGGUCUCUGCGAAGCCGCAAGGCGAAGUAUAGGGGCUGACGCCUGCCCGGUGCUGGAAGGUUAAGAGGAGUGCUUAGGCGCAAGCCGAAGGUACGAAUUGAAGCCCCAGUAAACGGCGGCCGUAACUAUAACGGUCCUAAGGUAGCGAAAUUCCUUGUCGGGUAAGUUCCGACCCGCACGAAAGGCGCAACGAUCUGGGCACUGUCUCAACGAGAGACUCGGUGAAAUUAUAGUACCUGUGAAGAUGCAGGUUACCCGCGACAGGACGGAAAGACCCCGUGGAGCUUUACUGCAGCCUGAUAUGGAAUGUUGGUGCAGCUUGUACAGGAUAGGUAGGAGCCGUCGAAGCAGGAGCGCCAGCUUCUGUGGAGGCAUCGGUGGGAUACUACCCUUGCUGUACUGACAUUCUAACCCGCACCCGUGAUCCGGGUGGGAGACAGUGUCAGGCAGGCAGUUUGACUGGGGCGGUCGCCUCCUAAAGAGUAACGGAGGCGCCCAAAGGUUCCCUCAGAAUGGUUGGAAAUCAUUCGCAGAGUGUAAAGGCACAAGGGAGCUUGACUGCGAGACCUACAAGUCGAGCAGGGACGAAAGUCGGGCUUAGUGAUCCGGUGGUUCCGCAUGGAAGGGCCAUCGCUCAACGGAUAAAAGCUACCCCGGGGAUAACAGGCUUAUCUCCCCCAAGAGUUCACAUCGACGGGGAGGUUUGGCACCUCGAUGUCGGCUCAUCGCAUCCUGGGGCUGUAGUCGGUCCCAAGGGUUGGGCUGUUCGCCCAUUAAAGCGGUACGCGAGCUGGGUUCAGAACGUCGUGAGACAGUUCGGUCCCUAUCCGUCGCGGGCGCAGGAAAUUUGAGAGGAGCUGUCCUUAGUACGAGAGGACCGGGAUGGACGCACCGCUGGUGUACCAGUUGUCUCGCCAGAGGCAUAGCUGGGUAGCUAUGUGCGGAAGGGAUAAGUGCUGAAAGCAUCUAAGCAUGAAGCCCCCCUCAAGAUGAGAUUUCCCUUGGUUUAUACCAUAAGACCCCUGAAAGAUGAUCAGGUUGAUAGGUCUGAGGUGGAAGUGUGGCGACACAUGGAGCUGACGGAUACUAAUCGGUCAAGGGCUUAAUCA
rnacentral:rRNA from 1 species